UGCGUAGGCGGCCUGGUAAGUCAGAGGUGAAAGCUCGCAGCUUAACUGUGGAAUUGCCUUUGAUACUGUCAGGCUUGAAUCAGGCUGAGGUGGCGGAAUGUGGCAUGUAGCGGUGAAAUGCUUAGAUAUGCCAUAGAACACCAAUUGCGAAGGCAGCUUACUAGACCUGAAUUGACGCUGAGGCACGAAAGCGUGGGGAGCGAACAGGAUUAGAUACCCUGGUAGUCC
rnacentral:rRNA from 1 species